GUUAUCCAGACGCACCAUGGCACUCUUCAGGGACAGCAGCACGGCGGCUCGGUCCAAAGCCACUCUGACCAUAACCGUAAAUCGGGUUGGAGUAAAAAAGCAGCACAAAAUAAAACCAGCAAAGUGAGCCCUUUGCUUGAUAAGGAGGUUAAAGAUUGAAAGGUUCGGUUGAUUGACCUGUGACACAGCCAUCUGGAUAACGGGAUCACAUGACAUGCACUGAGGAGGAAAAAAGAUGCUUGGACUAAGGAGACACUGAUACAACUUUUUUUUUCAGACCAACUACGAGUACAAGUGCUUCGAUUUCAGUACGCGCCAAUGCAGUGUACUGAUACUUGAUAAUGCCAUUGCGGCUUGCAAUUUUGAUGAAAAUGUAUUGUAAGCUAAUCAGAUAACAUUUAAAUAUUAACAUCCC